rnacentral:tRNA from 1 species
GACCAGUUAGCUCAGUCAGUUAGAGCAUGGUGCUGAUAAUGCCAAGGCCACGGGUUCGAUCCCCGUUCA